rnacentral:rRNA from 1 species
GGACCCGCACAAGCGGUGGAUGAUGUGGUUUAAUUCGAUGCAACGCGAAAAACCUUACCUACCCUUGACAUGUCUAGAAUUUUGCAGAGAUGUGAAAGUGCUCGAAAGAGAACUAGAACACAGGUGCUGCAUGGCCGUCGUCAGCUCGUGUCGUGAGAUGUUGGGUUAAGUCCCGCAACGAGCGCAACCCUUGUCAUUAGUUGCUACGAAAGGGCACUCUAAUGAGACUGCCGGUGACAAACCGGAGGAAGGUGGGGAUGACGUCAGGUCCUCAUGGCCCUUAUGGGUAGGGCUACACACGUCAUACAAUGGCCGGUACAGAGGGCUGCCAACCCGCGAGGGGGAGCCAAUCCCAGAAAACCGGUCGUAGUCCGGAUCGCAGUCUGCAACUCGACUGCGUGAAGUCGGAAUCGCUAGUAAUCGCGGAUCAGCUUGCCGCGGUGAAUACGUUCCCGGGUCUU